CGCGCUUUUUUUAAAUGGCAGACGUUAUUUUCUUGUUCAAUCGCGUAUGAGCUUUAUCGAACCACAAAAUGUAGUCGCACCCAAAAUAGAUGUUGCUCACUACCAGGAGGGAGAUCUCAUCAAAGCCACUUACCAAAAACAAACAUACGAUGCGGUGAUCAGUGAAAUCCAUCAUGACGAGGUUUCUCUUAAAGCAAGCAAAGCGACCGCCUAAGCAUGCUUUCGAGGCAACUUAAGAUAGGAAAAAAACUCAAGAGUUCAGUGAUCAAACACCAACAGAGCCUCGUGAUAAGUUGCCUGUA